rnacentral:tRNA from 1 species
CCUUUCAAAGGAUAACAGUAUUCCAACGGCCUUAGGAGCCACCCAUCCCGGUGCAAAUCCAGGUAAAAGUC